AGACCGUGAAAUUUUGAACAAGCAACUGUUGGGAUGGGCACACUUCUGUUGCUGUCUCAUUGCCAUUGGCAAUGCACCAGAGCUCCAUAAUGACAAGAUGGGGCACGCAAGCUUUGGCUAAAGAACAACAACAUGAAGGAACACUAUACAAGCCUAGAAGGAACAGGGUAGCAUCAUGUGAACAGAGAGGCCAACUUGAAGUUCUGCAGAAAAUGUGGGGACUCCCUGAAUUCCAAGCCAAAAUUCCAUGUCCAAAAGGCCCCGCUGGAGAAGAUCGCAAUUCAGAUAUGGCUACCUGAACAGAGAUGAGAGGUUUGCCUGACAACGAUCACAAAGCUUGGCUGAAAGGCUGGGUCCAGUAGUAGAAGAAGUAAAAAUGACUGCACUUGCUUUGAAUCAUAAAAGUGGAUCUGCCUGCAAAGAAAUAUAUUGAGCCUUUACCAGAUUGUUGCUUGUUACAAAUGAGUGAGGGACACUAGUUUCAACUGCUAUAUGAGUAUAUAUCUGGUAAAAAAAAGAAAAAAAAGUUUAAUUAUCAACAGAGGCUUAUCAGCAUGUGUUCAAGAAAGUAUAGUGUGUCUUCUGAAAUUGAAUGUAGUGUUGGUAGACAAGCCCUAGCUGUAGUGCACAGAGCACGGUAGUAUCAAUUUCUGAAGUAUAUUGACCUACCUUGAUCAGUGAUGCUCAAGAAACAUGAACAUAUGCAGAGUAUCGCAAAAUGGCUGUCUCUUCUAUACGCACGGAUACCUUCCAAGAUCAGAGUUCUUCAUACAACAAAGUCAACUAAGUAAAGAAGCUAUCUGACUAUCUACACAAGAGACAUGAAAACAUUUAUAUAGAUUGGAAUCUAAUAACAUAACUUAAAAAGCACAAGUCAGAGAGAAAGGAUGGAGAAAUAAUAUUACAAAUUACACAGUUCCAUUGUUUCUUGAACCUUAUGCUAUACAUACCGGAAUGAGUAAAAUAGAUAAAAUAGAUGGAUGGGUGAGUAAAUAAAUGGAGAAGUUUCUCUCCCAUGAAAUUUGCAAUCUAAACUUCAGAUAUUGAUGGAGAAGAAGGUAAUGAGCUGAGGGAUAUAAAAAGCAAGUUUUAUAUACCUGAACUGAAAUAUCAGUUUCUGGAAUGAACAUAUAGUUAUCACUACCUCCCAAUAUUAAAAGAAUUGUGUGAUCAGUUUUAAAAGCAAAUCCUGAAGAAGAAUGUCUAGUAAAAUCUUGUAUGUGUGAAGCUAAAUUGAAAUUGUGUGACAAAA